AGCGACCUCUCAUUACCUUCAUUCCGCUGUAUAUGGUUGGCGCUGCGAAGGCCCAUAGAAAGGCGUUAGCGGUCACGCAAAAGACCCAUUCAAACGUUUUGGCUUUUUUGUAAACCAAAAGUCCAGAUUCAGAAUCCUUUCUUGCGGGAAGCCAGCCGAGAAACCCGAGAAUUUGCACAAGCAAAAAUACUUCUUGCACGAAAAUUCUCCGUGACAUCGUUGAACCUCUAUAGCUGCGGGGACAUAUAUAAACAGGUCAAAACUGACAGCAAAAUAUUAAUUCCCCAAAGAGUGGAAAAGCCCGCAUAAUGGUGACAAUGGGCUUGUAUUAUGUAUGCUAAAAAUAUGAAAUUCGCCUUUUAGCCACCACUUGGCAGGCGCGAUGUUUACAACAAAGCCGUCAAUUAUUAUAUUCACAAUUUUAAGGUCAAUUUGGAUCUGUAGAAUGUGCACGUGCUUUGAAAUCAAAUUCUAAAAUUUCUUAAAAGAUUAAAUUGACGAUGCCGAAAUUAUUACAAUCUCAAACGCACGCAAUUAUUUGGAAAGCUCCCUUUUUUACUUAUUCAUUGCCCAUGGAUCAAUACAAUUAAUGCAAGUGCGUGUAAAUUUUCUCCCAAACGCGGCUCAUGCCCUUUCACUUUCAUCGCCAAAUCAAAUCAAUGAGCUUCGUCCAGGAAAUUCGUACAUUUCUUCGCCUUUUAGGCAUUUUAGGCUGGAUUCCCGCUAGAAUGGAUCGUGCAGAUCGAGGAAAAUUAACCCUUAAACUCGGCCCUGUGGAAAAGGCUUAUUCGUUGGUCAUGAUCGCCAUUCAGGUCGGAAUUUUCCUACCUGCACUAAACCAAAAUGCAGAGGUGAGGCCUCAAAGCCGAAUCAGGGCUGCUUUUAAUUUUGUGUGCCCAGUCGUUCGUGUCAGCCGCAGAGGACACACUGAUUGUGUCCACGAUGAAACUGUCUAUAACUGUCAUAGCCACCGGUAUCCCUGCGUCGGUUUGGUCACAGGCACGCUCGUUCGUGGAAUUUAUCAACGGAAUAACAGAAGUGGAAGAAAUAUUGGGUGAAGUCAACAGCUGCGAUAUUGAAUUAAAUCUGAAACUUCAGCGAUUUGGAUUGAUUGCCAUUUUCAUAUCGUUAACGCCGUAUUUUGGUAUUCUCGUACUGAAAAGAGUGUUCUUUGGGCCCCUAAGAAAUCCUUUAUGGCACCUAGUCGUUUGCAUCUGUUUCUCUAAUAACACAAUGACCAUAUUGAUGUUUGUGUGCGUCACCCGAGCUAUUGGAAAUUUGUCAGACGUUGUACUGCAAAGCUAUAGAGUUCUCUGCUGCGAAGUAAAAAUGACACCACUUUGCAAAUUGAAAAGGCAAGCUGCUUUCAGGG